GACGCGCGUGGGCGAUGAAGGGCUUCGGGUUGUAAAGCCCUUUUAUGGGGGAAGAGAAAAAGGACGGUACCCCAUGAAUAAGUCCCGGCUAACUACGUGCUAGCAGCCGCGGUAAAACGUAGGGGACAAGCGUUAUCCGGAUUCACUGGGCGUAAAGAGCGUUGAGGCGGUUCCGUAAGUUGGGCGUGAAAGCUCCGGGCUUAACCCGGAGAUGUCGUUCAAUACUGCGGGGCUUGAGGACAGCAGAGGAAGGUGAAAUUCCCGGUGUAGUGGUGAAAUGCGUAGAUAUCGGGAGGAACACCCGUGGCGAAGGCGGCCUUCUGGGCUGUUCCUGACGCUGAAGGCGAAAGCUAGGGGAGCGAACGGGAUUAGAUACCCCGGUAGUCCUAGCUGUAAACGAUGGAUGCUGGGUGUGGGGGGUGUAAAUUCCCUCUGUGCCGAAGCAAACGCGUUAAGCAUCCCGCCUGGGGACUACGGCCGCAAGGCUAAAACUCAAACGAAUUGACGGGGGCCCGCACAAGCAGCGGAGCGUGUGGUUUAAUUCGAUGCUACACGAAGAACCUUACCUGGGUUUGACAUGCACGUGGUAGGGAACCGAAAGGGGACCGACCUUCGGGAGCGUGCACAGGUGCUGCAUGGCUGUCGUCAGCUCGUGCCGUGAGGUGUCGGGUUAAGUCCCGUAACGAGCGCAACCCUUGCCCUUAGUUACAAGUGUCUAAGGGGACUGCCCGGGACAACUGGGAGGAAGGUGGGGAUGACGUCAAGUCAGCAUGGCCUUUAUAUCCAGGGCUACACACACGCUACAAUGGCCAGUACAGAGGGUAGCGAAGCCGCGAGGUGAAGCCAAUCCCAGAAAGCUGGUCCCAGUUCGGAUUGGAGUCUGGACCU
rnacentral:rRNA from 1 species